AGCGCUUCCAGUCAGACCGCAGCGUGCGCGAUAAUGAGGCUGUGCGGCAAUUUUUAUUCAGAUUCCCGUUCGGUGAAAAGCUCGCUUACAACGCUCUCGUAAAACACGAGACCAGCCACGGGAUUUUGGUAGCAUCAUUUUCUCGCCCUCGUAUGGCUUACAGUGCAAUUCAUCAUGGCGGAAUCGUGGGACGCACUCAACCAUCGAAGCUUGCGGGACAUUGACAGACAUCACACAUCAGUCUCCAUUGCAUUCCUGGAUCAACAUUUACUGGACUCCAUGCCUUUGUUCGUUUUAAAUUUUAAUGGUUAUUUAUUUGAAGACUCAACCGCAGUUUUGCUUCACGUUGGAACAAACAAUCUUGAACGGGGAGUUUGGGAGAAGGACGAGAAGGAUUUUGUUCAGCUUAUUCCUUUCAAUAAAACAAAAAUCUCUGAUACUUCCAAAGUUCCAAUGUGGGAUUCCGGAGCUUCACACGAACAAUGCAUUUAUUAUAUUAAUAGAAAACUGACUGAACUGUCACCUUUAUACAAUUUAACAAUAUUUAACUCUAAUAAUACUUUUAUUCUCAGCGACACAUUUUAUGCGUGUGAUGGUCUCAACAUAAAUGUCAAAGUCAGUUUAUAAAUAAAAUAUAAAUAUUAGAAAAUGCAAA
rnacentral:lncRNA from 1 species